UUACUGGGCGUAAAGCGCGCGUAGGUGGUUCAGCAAGUUGGAUGUGAAAUCCCCGGGCUCAACCUGGGAACUGCAUCCAAAACUACUGAGCUAGAGUACGGUAGAGGGUGGUGGAAUUUCCUGUGUAGCGGUGAAAUGCGUAGAUAUAGGAAGGAACACCAGUGGCGAAGGCGACCACCUGGACUGAUACUGACACUGAGGUGCGAAAGCGUGGGGAGCAAACAGGAUUAGAUACCCUUGUA
rnacentral:rRNA from 1 species